UGAUCAAUUCAGCCUCCUUACAAGAAGCAUCGGUGAAAGUCUGAUGGAUUUCCGCGAGACUUACAGACAUUCGGUCAUACUCUUCGAAUAAUAAUGAGCACGUAUUCCCACGUUUUAGUAUCAAUGACGGGCCAGUAUUUGAGAGAAAUGCACUUUUGUGGAAUUUUGCAAAUGACAGAUCCAGGUCCGGUAUUCAUUUGCAUCAGGAUAUAUGAGCACCCCCGCGUUGGCUCGACCUAGACGCCGCAAAAAACGCGACGAACUUAUCUACGAUUACAUGAUAAGAGUAGAGAAACUGGUCUGAUGGUCUGGCCCCAAACGCCGCGGGAUGACAAGAGUCAAGUCGUGCGGUGGCACACAGUGAGUAAAAAGAUUUUGUCACCAAGUAAACUUAAUCGCAUAUGAAAUAAAGAGCUCUCGCGGAAAA
rnacentral:lncRNA from 1 species